AUGGGAAGAGGCAGGGGACAGCCCCAGCGACGAUCCCCCGGCCACAUGCGCGUUGCUCUGGGGCGUCUAAUUUUAGUGCUGCUGGAGAUUAUCUCAGGUUGCUCCCAGACACGCAGAGCAGCAGGGCAGCGACCGCCGGACGCCUGCUGCCGAGGGAGCGAGUCGGCGCGAGCUGCACCAAGGCAGCGCUUGCUGCCGCCGCGCGACAGGCCCCUGCCCAUCGGGUUGGGUGCGCAGGACGGGAGCCAUCCCGACAUCCGCUUGCACGGAAAACAGGCCGGUUCGUUGCCUGGGGCUUUCGAAACCUCCCCGCCGUCUCGGCGGCAGCAAGGUCAGCUGCAAGGGUGUGGCGCGGGACGGGAGAGGCAGCGCGGGCGCCCACAGCCGCCGUCCCCCGCGCGAUCCGCCCGCGCGGCCCUCGAGCUCGGGGUGCGGGGGGGGGAGGAAGCGCAGCCCGUUUGCUGCCCGCGGACAACGGCAAACGCUCUCCUCCCGGCCGCYGCAGCGACACGUCUCCUCGCUGCCGCGAGCGAGGAAGCGCGCAGCGGAGCCGGUGACCCCCGCGCGGGCACCGAGGCCGGAGCGCUGCUCGGAGGAGCGCGGUGGCGGGCYGCGCUCGCGGGCGCACAGAGCCCCUCUGUUCCCGCGAACAAUGAGCCGCUUGUGACUCCGCCGCGGCCUCGGCCGGCACCGGGCUUCCUUUCGGCGCCGCGCUCCCCGGCGAGGGAGGCCUUUCGGGCGGCGAGCCGCCCCGGCAGCCUCAGCGGGCGCCGCGGCUCCCUCCUGGGCACGGAUGAGCGGCGGCGCCGGGCUGGCGCGCGUCUCCCCGGCAGGGUGCAAGCGUAUUCGGGGCGAGGCCCGACGGCCCAGGGACUGCCUCCUCUUCCUCCCCGAGCCCRGAGGAGAUGCCGCGGGCAAGUCCGGCGUUGCUCCUCAGCGCAGCUGCACGCUGGGGACGAGGGCCGGGAGCCGCAGCCUGCGACGCAUGGAGCCCCGUCGUUUUUCUUGGCCGGGAAACGGUUGGGAAACGCAAGCUUGGAGCCGCUCUGCUCGCUGGAGCCGUGCCACAGCYGCGCUGCCUUCAGCACCCCCUCUGCUCCAGCCGGGCCGGGAGCGGGGCCGCCGCGCUGCCCGGCCAUCCCUCUCUCCGCCGUCCCUUCCCCUGGAGGGGUUCCCGGCUCCUGCCCGGCCGCGCCAUCGGCRUCCUCUGCCAGCCGCCUCUCCGCUGCAGCAGCGCGCCAGAAGCAAGCGCGAGAGCCACGCAAAGCCAGAAGGGAUCGGAAGGGGGGAAUUUUAUCUGAGCAAACAUUUGCACGCCCUUUCCCCGCCUGCGCCUUUGCUCCGGGCGCCUGGGGACACCUUGCCCGCUGCCCAAGCCUUCAGGGAGCGCGGAUGGCGCCGGGUUACUCCGCUGCCUUUUCCCRGCACUCCGGGGCUCCCAGCUCGCUGCCUCUACACUUCAAGCGGGUGAUGCCAUCAGCCCCAAAUCUAUCUAUCUUUCACAGCGCAAAAGGUGGAGGCUCCGAAGAGCUUGCAGGCGCCGCAGCAGCGCCGAGCGAUGUGGCACUGCUCCGAGGGCUUUGUAUAUUUUAUUUCUUUUCUCGGCCGCUCAGAUGCUCCGACAAGUUCUGUCAUCGCGCYGACGCCGAGCGGAACCCUGGAAGCUUUACGGCCGGGGAAACGCCGAGUCGGAGCACUGGAAGGCACGCGUCCCGAGCGGCGUGCUGA
ensembl:lncRNA